rnacentral:lncRNA from 1 species
GCCCGUAUAAUAACUGUCUUGGAGAAGCAGCUAAUCUUCUCCAUGGUAGUGAUGUGAAUGGGGAUGUACCUGGAAAUUCUAUUAUGUUGCUGUAAGCCUUGACUGUGUAAGUCCCUUGUCUGUCACUCUCCCAAGUCCCACAUAUCCAUUUCUUUCUGUACUGUGAUAUUAAUGUAACCCCAAUAUCAGUCGAGUAAGUUAAGAAGCUGU